UCCAUCGUGAGGUGGAAUCUGAAGGAAGCUGGCGGCAAACUUCUGGUCUGACGAACAGGAACUACAUCAGGCAUAUGUAUGCUGGGUGAGAUUGCAUAACAAAUCAAAGCCCUAAACUAUCCGGAAGCAUACGGUGUAAAUGUGGCAGAUAUAUGGAAGGAAAGAUUGCGUU
rnacentral:ncRNA from 1 species